CCCUACUUAACGAGCCAUUCGUUUACUUUUAUACCUUAGAGUUGCAGUAUGUGUUUUUUUAUUAUUGAUUUACAGGAUCCUAAUUCAAUGCACUUUUUGUCAAAUUCAGCAAUUUGCUCCUCUGGGUACUUUAGCUGUCCAAUGAAUACUUUAGCUCUCAGUUUGCUCAAAAAACCUCUGGUGUUCAUACCGUUUGUAAGUCUGCAAGCUUUUUAAACAGUUUAGAGAGCAUUACACACAGAUCAUCUUUUGAAGUUUAGGGUUUUUUUAUCCUUUAACUGCUCAAAUAAACUAAAAGUCUGGGAUUGGUCUUCUAGGUCACAUUGGUCUUCUAGGUCAAAUUCAUAAAUGCAGGUGAUUGUCUGAUGGUAGCAGGAACAGGGAGGGGUUGAGAAGUGUGUUUUCAGAUGCCUGUGUAGUGUUAGCUUGACAAAGAAGAAACACUAUGUUGUAGAUUGGACUGAUAUCAAGUUUUUGGAGGAUUUCUUUUUAUUUUGUAUUAUUUCAUCUGCAAUGACUAUUUGUUUGUGUGAAGAGAGCUGAAUCUGGCCUUAUCUUGACCUGACUAGGUGUUAUUCUGGAUCCGACCUGGUGUCAUUCCGGAUCAAUGCCACUCCAGGGCGUGAUUUGUUCCAGAGUCAACUGCUCUUGAGGUUUCAGCCAGUCAAUCCAUUUAUACAGUUUCUUCUUUAUUCUCUAGUCAGUGUAGAAAUGCCCUGUGACCAUUUUCCUUUUCUAACACACAUCUAGCAGCCAAAGUCAUCACCAAAUCUAAUAAUAUCAGAUGCCUUUUGACCAUAAGGCAUUCUUCACAAUCCUAUUUGAUUUCACUUCAAAGUGUGUCAUGCCCACACUUCACACGCUAUAAAGUUUGCUCUCUUAAACUGAGUUAAAGUGACACAGAGCGAUCGUGAAUGUGUUGAGUUGACCUGUAACUCCCAUCAGAUACCAGUCUAGUCUCAUUCACAGUCUUUGAAAUCCCACCUCACCCACAACUUAGCGUCACUGUAUCAGUGUCUUCAUAAUAACAGCAGAAAACCAUUGUGAAAGUGAUAACACACGCAGAGCAGUUACGAAGGAGCUUGGUGUGUUAUCACAAGAAGCCGCCCACACACUCCACGAGGCUGAUGUCUUGUUGUUUUUUUAGCUUAGCUAUUUUAGUUCACAAUGCAAAUGGACAUUCUGUGCUUGAAAUGAAGUCUGUGAAAAUCUUGCAUGAAAAACUAUUUUCAUUUUACACAACAGAGUUAAUAAUGGUCCCUCUGUUGUUUAGCUAUCAGCAGACCAUUUUAUGUGGUUGACCUAUAAAGGCUGUGAAAGAAUAGAGGCCUUUCACUCUCCUGUCACAGGCUCCUUGUUCAGCUGAUUUUAAACAUCACAUGUAGAGGACUGAUUUUUAAAAGGUUUUUCUUGAAUCUAAAAUGUCAGAGAGUGACAAGGCCUACAUUACAUACUGGUUAAAUAUCACCCAUUUAAAAAGAGGCAAAUAUGUAUUCAUGGAUUAUUUUAGUUUGGUUCAGAUUUAUAGCUUAAGAAAUAAAACAAUCAUUCUCUAAUCUCAAAAAAGAGUAGAGCAAUCCCCUCCCUCCCAAAAUAGCCAAGCAAUAAACAAGGGAGGAGGAGAAGACGACUUGUUUAAUCUAUUGGAUUUUUGAGAGUUAAAACUAGGCCAAACUCAGUGGAAGACUAAAUAGGAUGUAUAAGUGGUACAAAAUAUGUACGAGUUAAUUUCUCUUAUGUUCAAUCAAAAGAGGUUCAGGGCUGUUACAGUGAUGACGGUGUAAACUGUACCAGCACUGUGAUGUGGAUCAACAUCAAACAGACACUUAAUCCAUAGUGAGCGAACGUGGAGGAGUGGAUCCGAGGAGAAUGUUUAUUUUUGUCCUGAUUUUUGAGGGCCUGGGUAAAUUACUAAACACACAACCUUGCAUGCCAGAAAAUUGGUCACAAAGCGAACCAGUCAGGAUUGGGAUGUUCAGGUCGUCCCUGCACAUUGUGACUCCCCGCAUAUCAGCCGCCUCUCGGCCAGAACCGGACCUGAGCUGGGUCUGUUCAGGCCUCUUCCCUUAUCUGGGUCUGAUUACACAACCGCGUGUAUUUAUCUCAGCAGGCAGCGUCGGCGCCAGGGGACAGAGCCAGCUGGAGACCCGCACCACACUGCUUCAGCUCUCCUCACGUCAGGCUUGAGGAAGAGUGCGAUGGGCCAACAAAUGUUAAAAUCCAAAAUAAAUGCCAUUUAUUUUCAGUUCCGACACCUCAUGAGUGAUAGCCACCCACAUGCUCUAUGCACUGGCCUUGGUAUUACAUCAGGUCAUGGUGGAGGGUUUCAUAAGCCCAACGGAAUCUUCACCUCUGCUCCUACACUAUUUCCCAAAAGAAGAAAUAGACCUGGAAAACUCCAAAGCAUAAUGUCUCUCACUGCCCAUCAUAUAUACACUCACACACACAUUAGUUCACACAGACACAUGCUUACACACACACACACACACACACACACACACACACACACACACUCGCACAUACAUGCAUACCCACAGACACACAUGCUUACACAAACAAGCACAUGUAUACACACACACCAUGACUGACUAAUGUGAUACUGAUGUUAAUCUCAGGUGCCACCCUAGGGCGAAAGAGCUGACACGGCCAUAAACAGACUUAUUGCAGGUACAGCUGGCGAUUCAUGUUGUUUUUAUUUAUUUUUCAUAGUUUUAAAGUGUGUGGUCACUGGUGUCUUUUACUGGCUUAGGAUACACAUUUAUUAGAACUUGGUCAAAAAAUAAAUUUCCAGUUACAGUUAAGUGUCCUGUGUGUUUAUUUGUAUUUAACCAACUAAAUCUAAUUCCUUGGGAAUGUUAAGUGUAUGCCAUAAAAGAGAGUG
ensembl:lncRNA